rnacentral:rRNA from 1 species
AGUAAAUAGAUACCGGGUAGUCCACGCCGUAAACGAUGAGUACUAGGUGUAGGAGGUAUCGACUCCUUCUGUGCCGCAGUUAAACACAAUAAGUACUCCGCCUGGGAAGUACGGUCGCAAGAUCAAAACUCAAAGGAAUUGACGGGGGCCCGCACAAGCAGCGGAGCAUGUGGUUUAAUUCGAAGCAACGCGAAGAACCUUACCUAGACUUGACAUCCCCUGAAUAACGUAGAGAUACGCGAAGCCCUUCGGGGCAGGGAGACAGGUGGUGCAUGGUUGUCGUCAGCUCGUGUCGUGAGAUGUUGGGUUAAGUCCCGCAACGAGCGCAACCCUUAUCAUUAGUUGCUACCAUUUAGUUGAGCGCUCUAGUGAGACUGCCCGGGUUAACCGGGAGGAAGGCGGGGAUGACGUCAAAUCAUCAUGCCCCUUAUGUCUAGGGCUACACACGUGCUACAAUGGUGAGAACAACGAGAUGCAAUACCGCGAGGUGGAGCAAAACUUCAAAACUCAUCUCAGUUCGGAUUGUAGGCUGAAACUC